rnacentral:rRNA from 1 species
ACGCUCGACACCUACGGCGGCAGCAGUGAGGAAUAUUGGUCAAUGGGCGCUAGCCUGAACCAGCCAAGUAGCGUGAAGGAUGAAGGCUCUAUGGGUCGUAAACUUCUUUUAUAUAAGAAUAAAGUGCAGUAUGUAUACUGUUUUGUAUGUAUUAUAUGAAUAAGGAUCGGCUAACUCCGUGCAAGCAGCCGCGGUAAUCUGAGCGGGCUGGCAAGGC